CCUAAACUUGGGUUUUGGGCUAAGGCUAUCCUGUUGCAUUCCAAUAGAGAUUGCAACGAGCUUCACAUACAUAACUUACUCUCUUGUCUACCGAUCAUUGUCGAGGCUAUCGAGACAGCGGGUGAGGUUUCUGGCUGGGAUGAAGAAGAAAUGAAUAAGAAGAAGUUGGUACAUUCUAACAAGUAUAUGAAGCAAUGGAAUGACUCUCAGAUGUUUACCUGGAAGUUCGGGAGAGAGUAUUUGGUGACAGAGGAUUUCUGCAACCGGUUCCAGAGUGCUUGGACAGAGGACCUUUGGAUUUUAAUCAAGGAGCUUCAGGAGAAAAGGCAGCCCGGUUCAAGCAAACAUGAU
rnacentral:lncRNA from 1 species